GACGAACGCUGGCGGCGUGCUUAACACAUGCAAGUCGAACGGUAAGGCCCUGCUUUUGUUGGGUGCUGGGGUGGCGAACGGAUGAGUAACGUGACAGUUACCUACCCUUGACCUUGCGUUAACUUCACCGCACUAGAGCUUAUCUAGUAUAGGAGCUCCUGCGUCUUUGUGGUGGUGGGUCUGUUUCGGCGGUUGGGUCUGGGCUCGAGGGUUUUCAGCGUGUUGGUGGGGUAGUGGGUUAACAAGGCUUUGACGGGUGGCCGGCCUGAGCGGGUGACCGGCCACAUUGGGACUGAGAUACGGCCCAGACUUCGAGGGGAUGGAGCAGUGGGGAAAAGUGCGAAAUGGGCGGAAGCCGGAUGCAGCAAAGCCGCGUGGGGGGUGACGGCCUUCGGGUUGUAAAGCGGGUUCGCCUGGGACGAAGCGGGAGUGACGGUAAUGGGAAAAGAAGCACCGGCUAACUACGUG
rnacentral:rRNA from 1 species